GUGCUCACUUUGGCAUCACAUAUACUGAAAUUGGAACAAUACACAGAAGAUUAUCAUGGCCCCUGCACAAGGAUAACAUGCAAAUCCAUAAGGUGUUCCCUAUUUUC
rnacentral:snRNA from 1 species